rnacentral:rRNA from 1 species
CAGCCGCCGCGGUAAUACGGAGGGUGCAAGCGUUAAUCGGAAUUACUGGACGUAAAGCGUGCGUAGGCGGUUCGUUAAGUCUGUUGUGAAAGCCCCGGGCUCAACCUGGGAAUGGCAAUGGAUACUGGCGAGCUAGAGUGUGUCAGAGGAUGGUGGAAUUCCCGGUGUAGCGGUGAAAUGCGUAGAGAUCGGGAGGAACAUCAGUGGCGAAGGCGGCCAUCUGGGACAACACUGACGCUGAGGCACGAAAGCGUGGGGAGCAAACAGGAUUAGAUACCCCUGUAGUCCCUGUCUCUUAUAC